rnacentral:lncRNA from 1 species
CGGGUGCGAGAGGGGGCAGAGCACCGGACAACAACAGCAGCAGCAACAACGAGGUCGCCGCCACCAUGGCCCUGCAGGUGACUUUGCUCUUCACAAAACAACUGUUCUGGUUGUGCUACUGUUCGUGGACCAAGCUGAGAGCCUGGCUGCUUAUUCUCUCAGCUCAAUAACGAGAUGCAGAUAAACUGGGAAAGAAGAGAUUUGAUUUCUGUAGCUGGGUGCAAGGAGAAGGCCUGCAAAUUAUUGCGAAGCCAACUCAAAAUUACAGAGUUUUCCAGAGCUUAUAUGCCUGCUAAGUUAUAUGUCUGCAUGCCUUUGGAUCCAAAGGGAGCUCUGGCAUCAGAGAAGAAGUAUGGUGGGCAGGGGGUGGCCAGCAUAUGUCCUUGAACUUCCCCUGUUUGACAGCCAGCCUACUGACAAUUCCUGCUUACCCUGAGUUUUAAAAAAUAAGGCAAGGUA